AGCAGCCGCGGUAAUUCCAGCUCCAAUAGCGUAUAUUAAAGUUGUUGCAGUUAAAAAGCUCGUAGUUGAAUUUCGGGAUCAGUACGCCGGUCGUGCCUUCGGUAUGUACUGGUGUCACUGAUUCCUCCCUUCUGAAGAACCGUUAUGCCAUUCAUUUGGUGUGACGGGGAAUCAGGACUGUUACUUUGAAAAAAUUAGAGUGUUUAAAGCAGGCUCGCGCUUGAAUACAUUAGCAUGGAAUAAUGAAAUAGGACGUUUGAUCUUAUUUUGUUGGUUUCUAGGAUCGACGUAAUGAUUAAUAGGGAUAGUUGGGGGCAUUAGUAUUCAAUUGUCAGAGGUGAAAUUCUUGGAUUUAUUGAAGACUAACUACUGCGAAAGCAUUUGCCAAGGAUGUUUUCAUUAAUCAAGAACGAAAGUUAGGGGAUCGAAGACGAUCAGAUACCGUCGUAGUCUUAACCAUAAACUAUGCCGACUAGGGAUCGGAUGAUGUUAUUUUUAAUGACUCAUUUGGACG
rnacentral:rRNA from 1 species